AUUGAACGCUGGCGGCAUGCCUUACACAUGCAAGUCGAACGGUAACGGGCCUUCGGGUGCCGACGAGUGGCGAACGGGUGAGUAAUGUAUCGGAACGUACCUUUCAGUGGGGGAUAACGUAGCGAAAGUUACGCUAAUACCGCAUAUUCUGUGCGCAGGAAAGCAGGGGACCUUCGGGCCUUGCGCUGAUUGAGCGGCCGAUAUCAGAUUAGCUAGUUGGUGAGGUAAAGGCUCACCAAGGCGACGAGCUGUAGCGGGUCUGAGAGGUUGAUCCGCCACACUGGAACUGAGCGACGGUCCAGACUCCUACGGGAGGCAGCAGUGGGGAAUUUUGGACAAUGGGGGCAACCCUGAUCCAGCCAUGCCGCGUGAGUGAGGAAGGCCUUCGGGUUGUAAAGCUCUUUCGGCCGGGAAGAAAUCGCACGGGCUAAUACCCUGUGUGGAUGACGGUACCGGAAUAAGAAGCACCGGCUAACUACGUGCCAGCCGCCGCUGUAAUAC
rnacentral:rRNA from 1 species